rnacentral:rRNA from 1 species
GGAAAGUUGAAUCAAAGAAGGUAAUAAUCCUGUAGUCGAAAAUAUAUACUCUCUUGAGUGGAUCCUGAGUACGACGGAGCACGUGAAAUUCCGUCGGAAUCUGGGAGGACCAUCUCCUAAGGCUAAAUACUCUCUAGUGACCGAUAGUGAACCAGUACCGUGAGGGAAAGGUGAAAAGUACCCCGGAAGGGGAGUGAAAGAGAACUUGAAACCGUGUGCUUACAAGUAGUCAGAGCCCGUUAAUGGGUGAUGGCGUGCCUUUUGUAGAAUGAACCGGCGAGUUACGAUUUGAUGCAAGGUUAAGCAGCUAAUGUGGAGCCGUAGCGAAAGCGAGUCUGAAUAGGGCGUUUAGUAUUUGGUCGUAGACCCGAAACCAGGUGAUCUACCCUUGGUCAGGUUGAAGUUCAGGUAACACUGAAUGGAGGACCGAACCGACUUACGUUGAAAAGUGAGCGGAUGAACUGAGGGUAGCGGAGAAAUUCCAAUCGAACUUGGAGAUAGCUGGUUCUCUCCGAAAUAGCUUUAGGGCUAGCCUCAAGUGAUGAUUAUUGGAGGUAGAGCACUGUUUGGACGAGGGGCCCUUCUCGGGUUACCGAAUUCAGACAAACUCCGAAUGCCAAUUAAUUUAACUUGGGAGUCAGAACAUGGGUGAUAAGGUCCGUGUUCGAAAGGGAAACAGCCCAGACCACCAGCUAAGGUCCCAAAAUAUAUGUUAAGUGGAAAAGGAUGUGGCGUUGCCCAGACAACUAGGAUGUUGGCUUAGAAGCAGCCAUCAUUUAAAGAGUGCGUAAUAGCUCACUAGUCGAGUGACACUGCGCCGAAAAUGUACCGGGGCUAAACAUAUUACCGAAGCUGUGGAUUGUCCGUAGGACAAUGGUAGGAGAGCGUUCUAAGGGCGUCGAAGCAUGAUCGCAAGGACAUGUGGAGCGCUUAGAAGUGAGAAUGCCGGUGUGAGUAGCGAAAGACGGGUGAGAAUCCCGUCCACCGAUUGACUAAGGUUUCCAGAGGAAGGCUCGUCCGCUCUGGGUUAGUCGGGUCCUAAGCUGAGGCCGACAGGCGUAGGCGAUGGAUAACAGGUUGAUAUUCCUGUACCACCUAGUAUCGUUUUAAUCGAUGGGGGGACGCAGUAGGAUAGGCGAAGCGUGCUAUUGGAUUGCACGUCCAAGCAGUAAGACUGAGUGUUAGGCAAAUCCGGCACUCAUAAGGUCAAGCUGUGAUGGGGAGAGGAAAUUGUUUCCUCGAGUCGUUGAUUUCACACUGCCAAGAAAAGCCUCUAGAUAGAUAACAGGUGCCCGUACCGCAAACCGACACAGGUAGUCAAGAUGAGAAUUCUAAGGUGAGCGAGCGAACUCUCGUUAAGGAACUCGGCAAAAUGACCCCGUAACUUCGGGAGAAGGGGUGCUCUUUAGGGUUAACGCCCAGAAGAGCCGCAGUGAAUAGGCCCAAGCGACUGUUUAUCAAAAACACAGGUCUCUGCUAAACCGUAAGGUGAUGUAUAGGGGCUGACGCCUGCCCGGUGCUGGAAGGUUAAGAGGAGUAGUUAGCUUCUGCGAAGCUACGAAUCGAAGCCCCAGUAAACGGCGGCCGUAACUAUAACGGUCCUAAGGUAGCGAAAUUCCUUGUCGGGUAAGUUCCGACCCGCACGAAAGGCGUAACGAUUUGGGCACUGUCUCAACGAGAGACUCGGUGAAAUCAUAGUACCUGUGAAGAUGCAGGUUACCCGCGACAGGACGGAAAGACCCCGUGGAGCUUUACUGUAGCCUGAUAUUGAAAUUCGGCACAGCUUGUACAGGAUAGGUAGGAGCCUUUGAAACGUGAGCGCUAGCUUACGUGGAGGCAUUGGUGGGAUACUACCCUAGCUGUGUUGGCUUUCUAACCCGCACCACUUAUCGUGGUGGGAGACAGUGUCAGGUGGGCAGUUUGACUGGGGCGGUCGCCUCCUAAAAGGUAACGGAGGCGCUCAAAGGUUCCCUCAGAAUGGUUGGAAAUCAUUCAUAGAGUGUAAAGGCAUAAGGGAGCUUGACUGCGAGACUUACAAGUCGAGCAGGGUCGAAAGACGGACUUAGUGAUCCGGUGGUUCCGCAUGGAAGGGCCAUCGCUCAACGGAUAAAAGCUACCCCGGGGAUAACAGGCUUAUCUCCCCCAAGAGUUCACAUCGACGGGGAGGUUUGGCACCUCGAUGUCGGCUCAUCGCAUCCUGGGGCUGUAGUCGGUCCCAAGGGUUGGGCUGUUCGCCCAUUAAAGCGGUACGCGAGCUGGGUUCAGAACGUCGUGAGACAGUUCGGUCCCUAUCCGUCGUGGGCGUAGGAAAUUUGAGAGGAGCUGUCCUUAGUACGAGAGGACCGGGAUGGACAUACCUCUGGUGUACCAGUUGUCGUGCCAACGGCAUAGCUGGGUAGCUAUGUAUGGACGGGAUAAGUGCUGAAAGCAUCUAAGCAUGAAGCCCCCCUCAAGAUGAGAUUUCCCAACUUC